rnacentral:rRNA from 1 species
AUUGAACGCUGGCGGCAGGCUUAACACAUGCAAGUCGAGCGGAGAUGAGGUGCUUGCACCUUAUCUUAGCGGCGGACGGGUGAGUAAUGCUUAGGAAUCUGCCUAUUAGUGGGGGACAACAUUCCGAAAGGAAUGCUAAUACCGCAUACGCCCUACGGGGGAAAGCAGGGGAUCUUCGGACCUUGCGCUAAUAGAUGAGCCUAAGUCGCGAUUAGCUAGUUGGUGGGGUAAAGGCCUACCAAGGCGACGAUCUGUAGCGGGUCUGAGAGGAUGGUCCGCCACACUGGGACCGAGACACGGGCCAGACUCCUACGGGAGGCAGCAGUGGGGAAUAUUGGACAAUGGGCGGAAGCCUGAUCCAGCCAUGCCGCGUGUGUGAAGAAGGCCUUUUGGUUGUAAAGCACUUUAAGCGAGGAGGAGGCUACCUGGAUUAAUACUCUAGGAUAGUGGACGUUACUCGCAGAAUAAGCACCGGCUAACUCUGUGCCAGCAGCCGCAGUAAUAC